rnacentral:rRNA from 1 species
GACGGGGGAUGCAAGCGUUAUCCGGAAUCACUGGGCGUAAAGCGUCUGUAGGUGGUGAUGCAAGUCACUGGUGCAAAACUCUGGCUCAACCGGAGGAAAGCCAGUGAAACUGCAUGACUAGAGUGUGGGAGAGGUAGAAGGAAUUCCCUGAGUAGCGGUGAAAUGCGUAGAUACAGGGAAGAACACCGGAGGCGAAAGCGUUCUACUGGAACACAACUGACGCUGAGGGACGAAAGCUAGGGGAGCAAACCGG